rnacentral:lncRNA from 1 species
UGAUUCGCUCGUCUUCAAGAUCCUCCAGAUGAUCAGCUUUCCGAAAAAGGUGAUUGGACUGUUUCCUAUCCUUCGGAAGUUUCCGGUUAUCGACACGAGAUGAUAUUCAGAACUACUCAAAACGCAGCCAUUCGCUUAAUCCCUAACUUUUGCCUGGAUCGCCCUUUCGGGUUUUCAAUCCACCGGGAUACCCAUUUUUG